CGAAAGACUAUCAGCCACGAAUUUCUGAAAUGAAGAAAUCAUGCAGAUCAUCGUCAUUAGCUGAAACAUUAUAAUCAUCCUCAUAGUUGGGUGUUGAUGGCAAGCUUUUAAUAAUGCCGCAUGCAAUAUUGGCCCAUGAAGAAUUAUUUUGUUCCUGAUUGCUUGGUAUCCUUCCUCUGCUAAUCUGCUAUUACAUCAUUCAAUGGUUAUAUGAACUAACGAAUAAAAACAACUAAAAGAACGUUUAAAAGCUAAAAGAACCUACACUACUAGAAAACAUAGCAAUAGUGACGGAAAAAAUCCGUCGGAAAAGAUCACUGGUUUCCGAUGAUUUCUGACAUAAGAGUUAAUAGGAUAUUAGCGACGUUUUGCGACGGUUUAGCAACAGAAUAAAAUCUGUCGGUAAUUCGUUACAACUUCCGACAGUUUACCGACAGAAAUCAACAAGUUUAAAAUUUUGUCGGUAAUCGGUUGGCAAAAUUAAAUUUUUAUUUUUUAAUUCUAAGGGCAAUUCGGUUAAUUCAACUAAGGGGUAUUUCCGAGGGAUGAGUCGUGCUGCAUCAUAUCGACUUAACCUAAAUCAAUCUCCCCAGAACUGUGAACGAAGGCGUCAACGCUCCGACUAGAGUUCUUUGAGUAGUGUUUAAUUCUCUUUGCCACUACAAGAAAAAUAGCCUUUUACGACGCGCAAACCACGACACUCAUUGAUUUAUGUUACGCAAUGGAGAGUGACGUUAAAAAAGCGUCAUCUCUUCAAAAAAUUUAAGGAUUUAGGUCACGCAUUAUUGCGUGCCCUUAAAUUAGCGUCAUACGAGAAAAAAUUAAAAACACGGAGGGCACUGUAUCUUAAAUGAGCGUCCUCUAUGAGUGUCACUUUAUAAUUUUAAUGAAAAGCGCGUUUAGUAGAUAGGGGGAAAAUGAAAUCCCUAAAAUUUUGAACACCCGCCUUCUUUUUUAUCCUCCACUUUUGUUUCCUUCUUGCCCUAAUUACGAUCCUUUCUUCCCCCUCCAUAGAUUCGACUGCUGCCUUACCUAGUUAUCGACACUCCUUCCUUCGUUCGUCACUUGCCUUCUUCGCCUGACAAUAUCUCAAGAAGUACAACUCCGAAAGCGUACAAGCUGCUAUCGGUUUCGCCAUAGAGUUCCGCCGUUCCAAAAUCGCAUAUUUUCGCGUUGAGUGACUAUGAUUGGGUUACAAUUAUGCUUGAGCCGACGAUUGGGUUACAAUUAUGCUUGAAAGUGUGAAGAACUUACAUGCUCCAUCUACUUAUAUCCUAGAGCCGACGAUUUAGGACCUUACCGCUUCUCAUCCCACACAGCGCCGACGAUUUAGGGCCUUACAAGCCCUAGCUCGGAUUGAACUAAGAAUUUAGCGAGAGAAAUCAAGAUUUUUGGUCAUCAUCAUCACGUUUGCAUUAGCAUCCAUAGGCUACAGAUCUCAAAUUCCUCUUCAGAUCCUCGUAAUUAACCUUUCCCAAGAUCUCGAUUUGAUCAAACAUACAUAUAAUUGCAGUCACCGGUCUACAACCUGGUUAUAUAGUUCAUUUUUGCACUAAACAUCUCAGGAUCUGAUCGAGCUCUCUCGCGGUUUCGUUCCCUUUCAAGAAAUCUCUUCCCCUCUCCCUCUCUCAUAAACCCACCAAUUUCUCGUUGAAAGCGCGCGGCCUUUGAAUCAGGCAUCUAUUUUGAAAUUUUUGUUCGAGGAAGAAAGGGCUCGCCUUCUUACCCAGGUCUAUUUUCCUUCAUCUUUUAUUUCAACGAUUGCUCUGUUUCAUCUUUCUUGGUUAGAUCAUGUCGACUAUGCAUAUGGGUGGGUUAUUACACUUUAAUGCUCCUUUGAAAUCAGUUAGGGUUACAUAUGAAAAGAAAGAAAACCCUAAUCUGAAAGAGCUUUUAGGGUUCUUACAGACCUUCUUCAAGUACCUUCAACAUGGUUACGUAGCUGUAGAUUACUCACUCUUUUCUUCUCUUAUCUUUCCUCUUUGCUUUUACAGGUAAUACGACAUGAUAGUCUGGUACAACUCUUGCUUCUUGGCAGGAUGUUACAGGGGACCACCAAACUUCCAUGGAAAUUUUCACACCAUCCAGCUGCUGCUGGUACGUUUUUCACAGUCAUGCUACUUGGACUUAAAUUCUGCACAUGCCAGUAUGAAGGGAGCCUACAAAAUGUUAGAUUGGGAAUUCAGCUGCUGGAAGAUGGGAUUUAUCGGUAUUACAUUCAACUCGUCUUUCUUCAUAAUAUAACAUUUUUUAUUUUAAUUUAAAUUCUGAAGUGGAAAACUGAAACCAACUGCAGGGCUGCAUUAGGCUGGUUUGCUUACGAACCUGAAUGGUUUGAACAUGAUCAUGGAAAUUUUGCACACAUCGAGGCUCAAUUUGUUAAUUCAUUUGUUCACUAUCUCCAAAACGAUCCAAAAGCACUGGGUGGGGAAUAUGGGGGAUCUUUUCUUGACAUGGUAAGACACCGAUAUUGCUAUUUAUCAUGUUGUGUUUUAUGAUUUUUUUUAUUAACAAUGAACAAUCUCAUAUAAUAAGAGGCGUUGCUUCCAAGAAUAGACUUGAUGAGUGGUAGCCUUCCACCAAGGGAGGUGAUAUAUCCACUCCAUUUUUUAAUACUUCCACUUAAAAUUUAAGAGUUGUGACUUUUUUGCCCUUAUUUUGUUUUUGAAAAGAGAGAAAGAUCCCAAACGUCUGGAACCGUUUCUCCUUUUGACGCCAACUCUUCUUCCCAAGCGACCAACGCUGAUUCCUCGUUGCCGUUCAAGAAUUGUCAGCCGCCAUCGCUUCUUCCAAGUCGCCGGUCGCCGGUUGCCAUUGAUUCUUCAACAGUAAGUAAGCUUUUUGGUACUAAUUCUUGUUAUACAUGAGUUUUUGUUUAAUGGAUUUGGGUUCCUAUCCAGCUAUAGUUUUCAACUUGGAAUCCUCUUCCUUUAGAAAGCAACUGUAAUGCAAACAAUUGUUUUGGUUAAAUCUUUCAGAGAGUUUUCUUCCUCAUGUGGUCAAGAUAUUUACCAUUUUCUAGUUCCCAUGUAACUCUUUUUUUGCUUCUUCAAAUUCUUUCUAUUACAAUGGCAUCGAGUCAGUAAAAGUACAAAACAAAUCAAACAAAAUUCAUAAAGUGUUUAAAAUAAGUAGCCCCUUUCCUGUUCAGAGUAUAUGUUUGUUUCCCUGCUUAUAAAAUUGAUUCAACAAAUUAAAAUAAUGUAAAUGGACUAAACAGGGGAUCCUAUUGAUGAGGGAUUUAAAAAAAAAAAAGAUGAUGGAUGUUACAGCCAUCACUACUUUAUUUAUAUAGUACAUAAUCUACAUUUUUAUUUCUUUCUUCUAGAGCUAACGUGAUCAUCAAAUUUUAUUAUAGUUCGAUAACUUAUUGCCGGAUCUCAUUAUUGUAUAACUUGAAUUUUAUUUGAUUGACAAUAAUGCUUCCCUAACGGCUAACAGGGAGGCUAAAAGGGCUGUUAGAUUUCCUAAAAGUUGAUCCAUUUUUUAUUCAAUGCAGAAUAUAGAGGAGGAAGUUAACUCUUUAAAAGAUAAUGUUUUAAAAAUUGAAGUGGCUGCCUUAGUAAUAGGAAAAAUAUAUGAUGAACAAUACGAGAAGGGAAAAGAACUACGAGCUCGAUUCCAAGUUGCAGAAGAAGUCUGCCAACAAGCUUAUACACAUUUAUAUAGUUUGAAGAAACGUUUAUAUGACAAGGUUUGUUGUAAAAUUUUGCAUCUUACACAAAACGAAACUUAAUAUAAUAAUUAUAAUUUUCUAUUGAUUGACUGAACAAAANCAUAGAAGAUGCGACUGCAGCAAGGAAUUUUGCAUCUGGUGGAGAUAAAGUUGCACUUCAUCAACCGUGUGUUAAUCAGGUUCGUUAUCUUAUCUUCUCGAUAUUCUAAUUUCAUAUUUAGUAUGUGGUUUGUGGCUAACAUGUUUUUUAAUUACUUUAGGUGGAAAAAAUAAGGGAAGAAUCGAACUCAAAUGAAGAAUUUAGGAAAGACAAUAUUAGUAGGACCACACCAAGUACACUUGUUGAAACUUCGCCUGAGAGUCAUAUGAAUGAAAGAAUUGAUGUGAAAGCAGAUCCUAUCUCAAGUAAAUUGGAAUCCAUUUCAGUAGUUUCAAAAGUUGAACAAGGAAAGAAGACAGCUUCGUGUGUGAGUGAUAUCUGCGAAAGAAUUGCUACGAAUUCAGUUUCUAUCUCAAGUGAAACCGAAUCUGUUUCAUUGGUUUCAUUGGUUUCAAAAGUAGAACAANGAAAAAGAACCUCUAGAUGCCCUUGAAGGGAAAACAGCUUUUCAACACGUAAGAAAGUGGACAUGAAAAGUUAAUCUUUUUGAGAAAGACUUUGUCUUUAUUCCUGUAAUUUACAAGUAAGUUGGAAAACAGUUUGCUUUCUAUACAUUUCAUUUGAACAGUUGACAAUUAUUUCUGUUGUUUCACAGCUAUCAUUGGAGUCUUAUUGUGAUGUGUCAUCUUGGGGAAGUUGCGAAAUACAAGGGUAUAGCUGUCAUUUCUCUUUGACAUCUUCAAGUAUUUUAUGAGGCAUGGUUAUCACUUUUUUCUAAUGUUAUAAUCUGGUUUAUAGAUGAAGAAGAUGUAACUGAGUUGAUUAAAGUGCCAUGUGUUCUGCAUAUGGAUCCUAUCAGAGGUAGUCAUACUGGUUUGAAAGGUCUUAUGCAAAGGUAACAUUUUUUUUAUUAUAUAAACAUUUUAUUUUAUUUUUAAAUUAUAAACCUUUAAAUAUGCCAUUCUAGCUAUCUGAAAGAAGAGUGGAAAGGGAGGCAGCAGGAGGCAUCUAAAGAUAUAUCAUCAAGAUUCGAUAAUCUACGCUUUAUUUCACUUGAGGUAUCAUCUGGAUAAAUAAUGUUUCAAAAUUAUUUGAGAAAUGGAAAGGAAAAAUAUACGAGGGCAAAAUUGUGAAUUUGUAUUAAAUUCUAAAAUCUGAAUUUUGUGUUGUUUUUGCAGUUACCACAGCAGCCGAAUUCAUUCGACUGUGGUUUAUUCUUGCUCCAUUAUGUAGAACUUUUCUUGGAGCAAGCCCCGAUUAAUUUUAAUCCAUUUAAAAUCACAAAAAGUGUCCACUUUGUAAGGACAUGGACCAUUUAUGUAAAAAUUAAUAAUAUAAGUGAGCUGUUGUUUGUGAAUAUGUGACUCAGCUAAAUACGGAUUGGUUUCCACCUGCUGAUGCAUCCUUGAAAAGGGUGGUUAUUCAGAGACUGGUGUAUGAUCUCCUACAACAACCUUAUGAUGAAGCUGAAGCCUUUUACAAAGUAUUUUCCCAAGUAAGUGCAAAAAGAUUUCUUUUGGCAAAGUUUCAUAUCAAUUUUGAUCCUUGUGUUAACUUUAACAACCCUUUUGUUAAAUUAAUAAAUAUGACUGUUUUGCCCUUAUCCGAUUCUUGGAUUUUAUAUUUCAUUGGAUGCUUGCAGCUUUGACCAGCCUUUUGAAGAAGUUAUAUAUCCAAAAGAGGAUGUUGAUGCUGUUUCCAUUAGUAAGAGAGACGUUGAUUUGCUGCUACCAGACACAUUUGUCAAUGACACCAUCAUUGACUUUUAUGUCAAGUAUGUUUAUCUUACUUAUUUGAUGGAAUAAAUUACUUUCAUAACAAUCCAUAUUACAAAUAUAAAAACUUAAAUGUACAUCAGACUAGAAGUCUUUACAUAUGAAAUUGUAUUCUAAAUUUCUAACUGAUGACAGAUACUUGAAGAACAAAAUCAGCAAAAUGAAGCCACUUGAUUUAAAUCUUGCAGCAUUAUCAGCAAAAUGCAAUAAAGACUUGGAGUUGAAUUUGGCUAAGUCAUUAUUGAGUGAGAUGGGCCAAUGUACAACUGCUUAUCCAUAUAAUCAACUGUUUGGAGCAUUAGUCUUAAAGAAUUAUGAAAGGAAAGAUGCAACUUUACUUAGUUGGAAUUUGAUGUACAUAGUAGAUUAGAUGCAAAUUUAUAUAUUGUAAGAAAUAGAAUUGUAUGACAUUAGAUUUAUGCAAUGUAUUCUAUUUUUUGUAUAUGGUAUUUUAUUUGCUAUUAUGAAACAUUAAAUACAAAUUUAAUUUGAAAAUAAGUAAAUAUAUAAAUAAUAUAUUUUUUUAAACAUUUAAAAUUAUGAUACGCAAAAAUGUGUGUCAUAUUCAUUUAUGACAUGGCCUUUCUUGACAGGGGCUUUCUUGAUACGCAUUGCGUGUCAUUAACACGCGCGUCGUAAGGUUACGACACACGAAUGCGUGUCGUCUUCCUUUAUGACAGGGCCUUCCUUGAUACGCAUUGCGUGUCGUAACCGCGCGUCGUAAAUGCGCGCCGUAAAUGCGCGUCGUCUAUAGAUGACGCGCAAAAGCGCGUCGUCUCUCUUUAUGACAGGGCCUUCCUUGACGCGCAUUUGCGCGUCGUCUGAGCGUUUUACGACGCGCAAUGAGCGUCGUAAAAGGCCUUUUUUCUAGUGCAUAGCGUACAACACAGAUGUAAUUUUUAUACCUAAAUUCGUAUCGUCCUUUCUGAGCGAAAUUAAGAAGAUGAAUGUUAGUGUAUUAAUUGAUGUAAUUGAUCGGAAUUUGGUUGGGUGCAAUGGAGAUUUGGAUUUACAAGGUUUUCAUUUCAAAUAGAUGUUUAGUACUCACGAUUUGAGUCUCCUUCCCAUAUUAUGGUAUCGAUAAAGAAAAGUUUUGGUUCAUGACUUCAAAGCUCCUAUAAAGACCAUACAACAAAGACAUAUAUAAUACACCUACUGCAAAAACAAACAACCUGGAAAAAUAAGAAAAUAAAUAGCUAGCAUUUCAUCAUUAUAAAAGCAUUAGGUUUGAAGUUUUGACUUACCGCUGAAAGUAGAAUUUCUUUCUAAAUGUUAUGGCCGAAUAGACUUCAUUAUUGUUAACACACCAUAUCUCGGUGGUUAUUGAAGCCAACAGAUAUCCAAUUGAAAUCCUCUGUAUAGUUAUAUUAUAAUUGAUACAGAUGAUUGCCAUUGACAUCCAAAGAAAGUUCUUGCAUAGAUAUCUUUGAAGCUGUAAAAUCGGGUUAUAGUCUUAUAGAUAAGUACUAAACUUAGUUUAUUUGUUAUUUUUCC
rnacentral:lncRNA from 1 species